UACGGAGGGUGCAAGCGUUAUCCGGAUUCACUGGGUUUAAAGGGUGCGUAGGUGGGCAGGUAAGUCAGUGGUGAAAUCUCCGGGCUUAACCCGGAAACUGCCGUUGAUACUAUCUGUCUUGAAUAUAGUGGAGGUGAGCGGAAUAUGUCAUGUAGCGGUGAAAUGCUUAGAUAUGACAUAGAACACCAAUUGCGAAGGCAGCUCGCUACACGAAUAUUGACUCUGAGGCACGAAAGCGUGGGGAUCAAACAGG
rnacentral:rRNA from 1 species